GCGAACGGGUGAGUAACACGUGGGCAAUCUGCCCUUCACUCUGGGACAAGCCCUGGAAACGGGGUCUAAUACCGGAUACCACUCCGCAAGGCAUCUUGUGGGGUUGAAAGCUCCGGCGGUGAAGGAUGAGCCCGCGGCCUAUCAGCUUGUUGGUGAGGUAGUGGCUCACCAAGGCGACGACGGGUAGCCGGCCUGAGAGGGCGACCGGCCACACUGGGACUGAGACACGGCCCAGACUCCUACGGGAGGCAGCAGUGGGGAAUAUUGCACAAUGGGCGAAAGCCUGAUGCAGCGACGCCGCGUGAGGGAUGACGGCCUUCGGGUUGUAAACCUCUUUCAGCAGGGAAGAAGCGAAAGUGACGGUACCUGCAGAAGAAGCGCCGGCUAACUACGUGCCAGCAGCCGCGGUAAUACGUAGGGCGCAAGCGUUGUCCGGAAUUAUUGGGCGUAAAGAGCUCGUAGGCGGCUUGUCACGUCGGGUGUGAAAGACCGGGGCUUAACCCCGGUUCUGCAUUCGAUACGGGCUAGCUAGAGUGUGGUAGGGGAGAUCGGAAUUCCUGGUGUAGCGGUGAAAUGCGCAGAUAUCAGGAGGAACACCGGUGGCGAAGGCGGAUCUCUGGGCCAUUACUGACGCUGAGGAGCGAAAGCGUGGGGAGCGAACAGGAUUAGAUACCCUGGUAGUCCA
rnacentral:rRNA from 2 species